AACGAACGCUGGCGGCAUGCCUAACACAUGCAAGUCGAACGAGACCUUCGGGUCUAGUGGCGCACGGGUGCGUAACGCGUGGGAACCUGCCCUUAGGUUCGGAAUAACUCCCCGAAAGGGGUGCUAAUACCGGAUAAUGUCUUCGGACCAAAGAUUUAUCGCCUUUGGAUGGGCCCGCGUUGGAUUAGCUAGUUGGUAGGGUAAAAGCCUACCAAGGCGACGAUCCAUAGCUGGUCUGAGAGGAUGAUCAGCCACACUGGGACUGAGACACGGCCCAGACCCCGAGGGGAGGAAGCAGGGGGGAAUAUUGGAAAAGGGGCGAAAGCCUGAUACAGCAAGGCCGGGGGAGUGAGGAAGGCCUUAGGGUGGUAAAGCUCUUUUACCCGGGAUGAUAAGGAAAGGACCGGGAAAAAAAGCCCCGGCUAACCCCGG
rnacentral:rRNA from 1 species